AUCGUCAUUGUUGCAUUUCAAAGUAUUUUUCAUUCAGUUGAGGUGUAUAUAUCCUCUCAUAUUGUAACAUGGAGGCUUGGAGGAAGACCACGGUGGGCUUUCUAGUUCUUGUCUUGGUUGCGGCUUCUUCAUAUGAGGUGUUAUCCGUUGAGAACAAUUGCUUUUGGAAAUAUAGCAACGAUCGUUGCGUGAACAACGAAGGGUGCAGGAAUGCUUGUAUAGCAGAUGGCGCGGACGAUGGACAAUGUCGCAACCGCGCCAAAAGACUAUUUUAUGGUGCCAACUGCGAGUGCUAUCCUAAAGAAUGCAACAAGGGCUAGCUAGACGCUUGUUGUACUAGAUCUAGACAAUCAAGGGCCACAACCUGAGGAACCAAGUUACCACUGCACAUGAUUAAGUUGUUAUAAUUGGGAUAUUGAUAUGCUCUAGAGUCAACCAAAGUGACGGUUGUGUCACGGUAUAUUUAUUAUCUCUUGGAUAAUGAUAAUCUGAAUAUACUAUUUGAUGUGGACUUUUUAUACAAGGUUACGAUGUCAUGCUAAAAUCUUUUGUACAUGUCAAUAAGAAAUGAAACAAUAUAUGUAUAACUAUA